ACCUGCCAUUAGGCAACUCCCAUUCAUUUUCCUGAAUGUACUUAUAAUGCCCAUUAUCAUCAUCAUCUAUAUACUGUCCCACAGCCAAAGCCCUCUGAGCGGUUUACAAAGAAUAAAACACUGAACAUUAAAAAACAUACAAAAUUUAACUAACUGACUUCUGGAUCUAUGAACACAAUGACAAAGGGAUGAAUGUCUCAACCCGUAAUUGGUCUGUGGUUUCUUGCCUCAAAUAUUUUGGUACAUGCUACUUAAAACAGCAGUAGCCAGUGAAGUAGUGUGAAGUACGAAAAGCUGCCACCACUGAGGAUCAACCAUGGCGAAAAGGAGCCUAAACAAAAUACAGAAUUAGAAUAUAUCUCAUGGUUAUCUAGACAAAUGCCUUAUUAGUUUUAAUAGUGUGUAUCCUGCUUUUCUCUUUUCAAAACAGCUUGCAAAGACCCUCAAAACAUUAAAACAUCCACAUCCAUACACAAUAAAAACUUACAAUUUAAUAUGGCAGCUGGGAAAGAAAACAUCGUCAUAAAAAUACAAGUAACAUCUCUUCCCAGUUGAAAAUAAUAGCAGUAGAUUAUUAACUAAUGAUGUUAGUGGAUGACAAACAAGCCAAUCCAAAUGGAGCAAAAUCAGUUUAACAAAAAACUUCCUUAAAGUGUAAUUGAUUUGAUUUAUUAUUACAUUUAUAUACCGCCCCAUAGCCGAAGCUGUCUGGGCAGUUUACUUCCAGAAAAGGGUGUGUGUAUGUGUACGCUAGCAUCACCAUGGAAAAGACAUAGCUCCUAGUAGGCACUCACUGAACCUCAUUUGGCAGUGGCAUUGGAACAAGGCUGAGCAGACUGCCUGAGGGGGCACAUAUGAAAGAAAGUGAUAGUUCAGUUACUCAAGUCCCAAGCUGUUUAGGGUUUUAAGGAUAAAAACCAACGCCUUAAAUCGAUCUUGAAAACAUUUUCAAUUCAAAGUGGUGGUCUUGACCUUUAAAGCCUUAAACUGUUUGGGAUCAAGUUACUUGAAGGACUGCCUUCACCCAUAUCAACCUGCCUGCACUUUAAGAUAAGAAAGAGAGGCCCUUCUCAUUUGCCCACCUGUGAGAACAGUUAAGUGAUCCCAUGGGAAAGGGCCUUCUCUGCUGUGGCCCCAGAGCUCUGGAAAAAGUUGCCAUUGGAGGUCUGCCACGCUGCAUCGGCGCAGGCUUUUAAAAGGGCCUUGAAAACAUAUUAUUAUGUCAUUGUUGUUUUUUGCCACUCGUUUUAUCAUCAGUUUUUAUUGCAAUAUUAUUGUGUUUAUGUUUUUAUUGCUGUAAGCUGCCUCAGGAAGUCUUCAGCCCUGAAAGGCAGCCAAGAAAAGUUUUAAAUAAAUAAAAUGUAGUCAGCUAGUGAAGCUCAAACAAACCAUAUAAUGCUCCGAUUAACCAUCCUGCCUAUAAUCUGGCAGCAUUUUUCACUAGCUAAAGUUUCCAAAUGCUUUUUAAGGGUAGCUCAAUGCAGACCAUGUUACAGUCACCAGAGCACAAAUGACCAUGGUAAGAUCUGAAAGUGGACAGCUGGCAUGCCAGCUGAAACUGGUAAAAGGCACUCCUAGCCACCACUUCUACACCACUUCAAGGAUCAUUCCCAAUCUACACACCUGAGGUGUGAUCCCAUCCAGAACAGGUUGUACAUCUAACUCCAGUUCUGAAAGUUCACCCCACCACCUCUGUCUUGUCUGGAUUAAGUUUCAUGUAUUCUUUCCAGUCCUGCACAGCCAAGAAUCGAGGAUUUAGGGGUUCAACUGCCUAGAAUCUAAUACAAAUGAUAGAGCUGAAUGUAAUUAGCAUGUUGAUGGCUCCUCAACCCAAAUCUCAGGAUGACUUCACCCAGAGGUUUCAUGUAGAUGUUAAAUAGCAUAAGGUCAAGAUGUAAAUGGAACUAUAAGCCAAGAGGCAGAGCAAUAGCCACCCACUACCACCACUGUCUGGAUCCUGCCCUUCGGGAGUGAAGGGAGCUAUCUAAAAACUCUGUCCUCGACACCUGUACCUGCCGGGCAUGUCAAAAAGUUUAUGUGUUCGAUCAUAUUGAACACCUUGCUGUAAUGUAAAUAAACUGCAUCAAAGUGCUUUUAGGAUGCUGGUAACCUGGUCAACUUGAGGAACAGAAUAUCUGGUUAUACUGUGGAAGAUUUCAGAACACAUUCAAGAAGGGGAAGAUAAAAGUCAGGAUCCAGAGAGACAGGUGUGUGAUCGGCUGAAGGAAGUGGGUGGAGGGCAGAGCAAUCAAGCUUAUUCUGGUAAACUGAUUUGUUGGAUUAGAAAUGUUGUAUUUGAAUAGAGCCUCUGUGUGUUUUUGUUUGGCCACAUGCAUGCAUCUACUCUUGGGUAUGAAUGUGGAAUGUUCUCUUGUGGAAGAGAAAGCAUAGUUUAAGAAAAAAGCUAGUGUGGUGUAGUGGUUAGAGUGCUGGACUGGGACUUCGGAGAUUCAUGUUCUACUCCCCACUCAGCCAUGAAGCUCAUGGGCUAGUCACUUACUCUCAGCCUAACCUACCUCACAAGGUUGUUGUGAGGAUAAAAUAUGUAAGCUGCCUUGAUUUCCUUGCAGGAGGAAAAGGGGUGGGAAAUAAAUAAAUAAAUAAAUCCUGUUACACUCUAGUUCCAAUGUUAGUCAGGAGGACAACCAUAAUCACAUUUGGUUUAUAGUUUUGCAGUAGCAAUUCUCAACUACUGGCAGCUUUUCAACCCAGGCACCAUCAUUUGCUUAUACAUACGGUCCUUUGAAAAUACAGAAGUUGCAGUCACUAAUAUAGUAAAGGGCAAAUGCUAGGGCAGUUUAAAUGUCAAAAAUGAAAUAACUGAACAAUAUUUAACUUGCCAUAGCAAUUACAGUGCUGAUAACUCUUUACUAAGACUUGAUGCAGAAGAUGAAUUUCCAGUAUUGACACCUGCCUAAUUAGGGAAAAAACAUUAACGAAAGAUAAACAUUAAGGUAAAUAAGAUAAAAAUUACAUGCUGAUCUAAAAUCAGAAUAUUGUGUGAGAUUAAAUCUGAAAAGAAAUUGCAUACUUUUAAAAUGACAUUUAAAAACACACCCUAGAGAGGUAGCUGGUUCUCUAGCAGCAAAAGCAGCAAUGGCACCUUAAAGACUAACAUAUGAAUUUAUUCUGGCAUAAGCUUUUGUAGACACUGUCCAUUUUCUCAGGUGCAUGAAAUUACUUGAAGCCACGAAACACUUGUGAUUCUUAAAUAUGAUGUCUAAUUAUUAAACUGUCUAACUGAAUAGCUAUUAGAAGUUAAAUUUGUUACUAUCAUAUACCCUAGGUUGUUAUGCUGACCAGUGCUUUUGGACAUUUAAAGUUUUAAACUGCCAUGCCUUUGAUGCUUCAAAACUGUUUUUUUGCAACUGAAAUCUCAGAAAGUUAACAAAAACAUGCUCUCUGGUUGUAGCUCUUUAAUGGGUGCUGCCACCAUAUAAUAUAUACUCCUAUCCUUGAUCUGGAGAUAAGCAAAAUGGCAAGCAGUUUAUAGGCUUUUAUCUCAGCAUUUCAUUGAAUCUGGAUUCGGGAUGCACUAAUAGGACUUGGUGAAACUUCCAUCUUUUUGAGCUGUUUACAGCCCUCUAUUUCACAACUGCUGGCAUGUUCUAACAGUGUACAUUUUAAUCCAAGUUCAUACGCAAAUCAAUAAUAUAAAUCAGACACUGGCUUUUUCUUCUUUGCCAAAAUACUUUUUCAUGAAGAGAUUCAGCAACCCAAAAGGUCCAUCAUGUUUUAAAAAGGACAUGUCCCGCCCUCCUUCUGAAUCAAGUAGCUGACAUUGUGCUUUGUGCAUCGUUAUGCAGUUCAGGAAAUAACAGGAUCUAUUGGUGCAUCUUGGGUGCUGUCAUUUUUGCUAGUGAACUUGGAAUAAAUUAUAAAUACUAAUUAAGUCUUACAACACCCUGUUUAUCCCGUAGAUUUUAUAUUCUUCCAUCUCAACACUGAAACUCAACUUGUUCUACAGGUUUAUAAUACAACUCCAUCAGGCUCAGCAGCUUCCCAAUGAUCAUCACCUUGACAUUUGAGUUGAAAAUUACAGGCACAGAUUUAUCACAGUUACCAUCGAUCCUGUACAUCACUGAACCUUUUUAUUUGGGGCUCUUUGUUUUUACCUCUCUUUAAUGUAAGAAAAUUAAGGAGUAAGGAGGCAUCUUCUUGUUAUUAUUUUAAAAGACUCCAAAUUAUUGUACUGAAAAAUAGACUGACUGUCCUGAGCUCCUAACAAAUUCAGAAUCUUCCCACAGAAUCUGUAAACCUAUACUUUUAUGGUGGCCAGCAAUAUCUUAGUUCCUUUUGACAAAAGGACUAAAGCUCCUUGGUGUUGCAUAUAUGCAUGUGUACAAGCGUUGUAUGUAUAUCCAAUAUAUGAAAACAUACUUCAGAUUCUUCAACACACUUCUAUCUUAGAGGGGAUGCUAUCUUUAAACAUAGACAAAUCAGCUACUAUUAAUGUUUUCCUAAUAGUUUUCAGAGCAAUAUUCAUAGUGUUGAAUCCAGUGCUAGCCAUCUGCCAGAGGAAUGGAAACCACUGGCAGAAUGAGUUUCCCCUUCUCUCUGUGGCCUCAUUCUUCCCCCCAAGUAUGUUCCAGAGGGUUGGGAGACCCUCCAGAGGAGAUGUGGGGACUACAGAGGGAAGGAAAGCAAGAGGAAGACUUCUCACACAAAGUUGUAUUUAACCCAUAAGCAAUCUGGCAACACAAUAGAAAAAAAGACAAGUCCAUAUUUUGAUGUAUUUCCAGACUGAGGAGCUCUAGAGGUAACUAUCAGAAGGCACAGAGCAGUUAUUAUGGCUUUUCUUAAUGGAUUUUCUGUGGUAAGGACAAACAUGGAAGAAGCAGUGGGAAGGUUACAAGUGGAUGACAAUGAAGUCCAGACCCCCUGUAAAAUUCCAUGAAUGAGGCAGGACGAUCGCGCAUGAAAAGUCUCAUCUGAAAGAACCUUUAAGCUUUAGGAUUGCCAUGGGUGCCUCUGGAACUUGUUUGGUUUGCUCAUCAAAUGGAAGAAGUAUUUUGGGCUAACCUACAUGGCAUCAAUGACAAAAGGAACUGAGUUGGAUUCAGACUAAGGCUACACUCCUAUGCACACUUAUGUGGGAGUAAUGAAAUUCAUACUUCUGAUUCGUCACAAUAAAAGUAGAGGUGAAACAAAAUUAUGCAUUAUUUUAAAAUCUGCAAAAGUGUUUUUUUUUUUUAAAAAAAAAUAUGUAAAAAAAUUUGACCCACAAAAUUAAGUAAACAAAAUUCAGCUGUUUGGAUUAAUAAAUGAAUAAAUGCAGUAUUGUAGUACAUUAUUUUGCAAUGCAUAUGUCAAAUAUCGAUUGCUACUGCAUGUCAUCUGUCAGGUCCUGUCAAAGGUUGACUGCUUGGUGGACCCUCUGUGAGGUACUGAGUACUUCUGCAUGUCAGAUGGCACAUCUUGUCAACUACUGAUUACUACUGUGGGUUAGCUGUCAAGUAUUAUUUAAUUCUUUCUCUUGUAAGAUACCACCACCACCACCACCCAAAACUUGCUACUACAUCCCAGCUGUCAAACUGUGAAUUCUAUUGCAAAAUCUUUGGAUGUCAAGUGAUCACAGAGAUGUAGUAGUCCUGCACACAGGUAACACUUUGCCAUCAGAACUGCAGAGGAUCAUUUUAAGAAGUGUUGUUUAGAGCACAUUUACUCCACUUUUAAAUAAAAGUAACUUGACCUAAGAUGCAUGAGCCUCAAUUUACACAUUUCUUUUCUUUCAGCCCAGCCCUAACCAAGUUUUCAUACUGAAUACUUUUAGGUGCUGUGGCGUGUGUAGGACUAAAUCCAGUUGACUUUAAUCACUUGCACAAUCCCAUUAACUUCAGCUGCUUUACUUCCUCACUUCCUGUGGGGCUAAAUUGGUAUCCUGCUUAGGAGCAGCAGUGAAGUAUGGCAUGGGGACCCAUGGCAAGAAGAUCUGCACUUUCAUUGUCUCCUACAACCUUAUUUUUUAAAAGGUAUAUGUAGUGAUUCAUGGGAUGGAGCCUGACAAGUUAAAUGUUAAAUCAUCUCAGGAAAAUAUAUAUAUGUGACUGUGAGAGUUUGGUCUGGUUAAUUUAAGAAUAGCUUCUAAACUAUAAUACUAAAAUUUUCUCAUGCUAGAUCUCUCUCUGGUAUAUUUCCACGAUAUCUGACAGUAUUGCAGAGGGUUGUGAUGGGAUUGGUACCUUUUUGCCUUAAAACUGUGUGUAAGCCUUUGUAUAUUUAAACAGUGGCAAACAGUCCCUCCCAAAUGUUCCAAGGGGCUGUCUAUACACGCUCAAAGCCCCAAGGUGGCUGGGAAUUUGUGCUGCGUCAGUUAUAUGUUGCAGCCACAGAGCCACUGCUGGGGUGGUGGUGGUGGUGGUGGUUCUGCAAUGCUGCACAGAAAAAAACCCUCCCACCAUCUGACCACGCUUCAUAGCUGAUCCGGGGCGGGGGGGGGGGAGGUCCUGGUGGAAGGCAACCAGCAAUUGAUUGCUGGAAAGCAAGAAGGGUGGGUCCAGUACCCAGAUGACUGCCAGAAACAUGCACUCCCUCCUUGGCGUGGGGAUUACCCAACGCCACCCAGGUAAGUGAAACCGUGGGGUUUGGGGAGAAAGCGGCACCAACUCAGCUCCAGGUGACCUUCACCUGCUUUUGUUAUAUUCCAGAUAUUUGAAGAGAGAGAUCUUCAAUAAUUCCAAUCCAGUUCCUCUUCUAGGGAAGAUUUUUGCUUUAUUGCCAGAAAAGAUAAUAAUGUUGAAAAUUUACUUUGUUUUCAGAUACUGCACUACUGUAUUUAAAGAAGCUUUUGGAUCACUGAACAUUAUGCAUUGUAAAAUGCGAUAUUAUCUAAUAAACACA